rnacentral:rRNA from 1 species
CCAGAGAUUGUGUUCAGAAAAUUUAUUAUGAGUAAACAAGGAAAUAAAUUAGACUUUCAACAACGGGGAAGAUGUCUCAGGGAUAGAUGAAGAAGGCAAGGGGCGGGAUAUGAGAUGUAAAGUCAGAGUUAACAAAAUCAGGGAAUGUAUGAAUAGACGCUACGGCGAGCAGUAUUCUGGCAGGCAUGCUAGUGCGAGCGACGUUACAACGUACAGGCCACCGGGCUCGGCGUUGGGGAACGGGGGAAGGCGCCUAAGGGCACAACGCCGUCCCCCAAAUACAGUGGCGGUCCCGCCGCAGCUUCCAUUGCGUAGUAGCUAACACCUCGCAACUGGAGAGCGGCGCGGCCACGCCGUAAAACACCCAACUUCUGAAAUGUUGGAACCCCUCU